UUGCUUCUUUGGUUGGUCUGUAAG
rnacentral:piRNA from 1 species